UGCCAGCAGCCGCGGUUAUACGUUGGGUGCACGCGUUAAUCGGAAUUACUGGGCGUAAAGCGUGCGCAGGCAGUUUUAUAAGUCAGAUGUGAAAUCCCCGAGCUCAACUUGGGAACUGCGUUUGAAACUGUAAGACUAGAGUGUGUCAGAGGGGGGUAGAAUUCCAAGUGUAGCAGUGAAAUGCGUAGAGAUUUGGAGGAACACCAGUGGCGAAGGCGGCUCACUGGCUCGAUACUGACGCUGAGGUGCGAAAGCGUGGGGAGCAAACAGGAUUAGAUA
rnacentral:rRNA from 1 species